rnacentral:rRNA from 1 species
UACGAAGGGGGCUAGCGUUGUUCGGAUUUACUGGGCGUAAAGCGCACGUAGGCGGACUAUUAAGUCAGGGGUGAAAUCCCGGGGCUCAACCCCCGGAACUGCCUUUGAUACUGGUAGUCUUGAGUUCGAGAGAGGUGAGUGGAAUUCCGAGUGUAGAGGUGAAAAUUCGUAGAUAUUAGGAAGAACACCAGUGGCGAAGGCGGCUCACUGGUCCGGUACUGACGCUGAGGUGCGAAAGCGUGGGGAGCAAACA